GAGCCCUGUAGCCUUGCUGCAGCAAGCCUCCAGCUCGCGGUCUCUCGCUGAGGACCGAGAGACGUUGGUGUGCAGGAGAUUCAGUGCGUGUGUUUUUCAUUCCCGUGUGGAUUUGUUUCAAAGACAUUGUCAUCUGUGUAGAAGCCAGUUUCAAUCUCUGGUUUCUACCCCUUGCCCUGCUGGCAGGGCAUUGAGCGGCACCCGUUGCCGGCCAGCUGGGUGCAGGAGAUCGAGGAGGGUGAAUGGAGGAGCAACCCUGAGCAUCUGCCAUCCAGCUCCAUCUGAUCUAGAGCAAGAUGGAGCGAAUAAGGCGGAUGCUCAGGAGGAAGGCCGGGCAGGUGGCUCCAGAGCCAGCAGAAAACAUCAGCCAGCCUUCCCAGGAGGAGAGCGGCCCCUCUGUCCCCACGGGCGGGGAAGAGGCUUGUGGCCGGAGUAAGGAGAGGAGCUGCGUCGCCUGCUGGAGGAGGCGGAAGACAGCAGCUCCGCUAGCUGACCCUGAGGCACCUUCUGGGCUGAAAUGGAGGUGGCCCCGGGUUCAGCUGUGGAGGAGAGAGCCAGGAGAGGGCAGGAGCCGGAGAAGGCAGCUCUGGGGCUUCCUUUGCAGAAAGCCAAGGAGCCAGGAGCUGCGCCCCAGGGCCCAGCAGGAGCCGUCCACCACCAUGGCAACUGAGGGGCCCUGCUCCAGCCCCACCCUGGCCCUGGAGGAGCCUCCCACCAGCCCCACCCUGGCCCCAGAGGAGCCUCCCGCCAGCCCCACCCUGGCCAUAGAGGAGCCUCCAGCCCCACCUUGGCGACUGAGGAGCCUCCCGCCAUCCCCACCCUGGCGACUGAGAAGCCUCCUGCCAGCCCCACCCUGGCCAUGAAGGAGCCUCCUGCCAGCCCAGAGCAGGAGUUGAGCGACUGCGUGACAAACACCAGCAGCUCCGCAUACUCCUGCGGGGCCAGCAGCUCCUCCGUGGGGUCUGGCAGCCCUGUCUUUGAAGGCUCCCUCUUUGGAGACACCCCCAGUUCCCAGGUGUCGUGGCCUGAGGAGGAGGAAGAGGAGGAGUGUGAGGAGGAGGAGGAGGAGUAGGAUUUGUGCCCUGAGGAAGAUACCAUCUUGGUGAUCCAGCAGCACCUCCAGGGCAGAGCUGAGGCUCUGCACAACCCUAUUCGCGAAGCCUGGACACCAUCCUCAGGGACCGGCUAAUAGAGACCCCCACCAUGGAGAAGCUGCAGCACCUCCUGGAGCACGUCCAUCCCUCUCUCCUGUCAAACAACACCCAGGAGAGAGCCAGGGUCGUACAGACCCGCGCGGCCUUGCUCCAGUUUGCCACCUCCCUGCCUGGAUUUGACACUUCCUCCAC